CAGUAGAGUAUUGAAACUGAUAUCAAGUUUAACGGUCCAUAUAUGGUUUUAAUCCAUGAGAAAGAAAACAGAUUCAUUUUAUGAAACAAAAAUUUAUUGAAUUUAAGUAUUUGGUUUCGGCAAUUGUUAAUUGCUUUUGUUGUUGUGUGUUUGCACUCGAAUGUAUGUGGGAGUUUUCAUUGUUUUUUUUAUUCUGGCUGUCUAAUGGUUCAUGGACUUUUUUUGUGGGUUCUAACAACACCUUAUGAUUUACCCUUUGGUGUUUAGGGCAAGAAAAGAAAAGAUAAGAUCUGCAUUGCACUUGCUGAUGACACUCGUGAUCAAUCCUGGAUUAGGAUGAAUAAUGUUGUUAUUACUCCAUUCAAGACGCAAACAAGAAUAUGGCUUGGAGAAGUCCUGCACAAGCGAUUGCAUGACCAGCUGACAAUUUCUGAUUUACUUGCCGAUGGGGAACUGCUUGAAAUCACCACUGAAGGGCGACGAAUAACAAAACUUGACCAAGCGGAUUGUUGACAAAGCUGCUUUUUCCUGAAGGUGAGUUUUUGAAAAUAUUGAUUAUGUUGAUGAUCUGUUUUUGUGGUUUUGUUGUGAAUUGGGUUUGUUUGUGAAACAGAGGGUUGGGUUGUUUCUUUGCAAGGCGCCUACUUGUGUUUAAAAUCUUCUAGGAUCUUGGAUUUUAUGCAAGGUUCUGAAAAGCGGUUGCGGUCGCCGUAUCGGUGGCGGUGACUCGGUUGCGGUUGCGGGGUGUAAAGGCCGUAGCAUA